GCCGGGCGUGGUGGCGCAUGCCUGUAAUCCCAGCUACUUGGGAGGCUGAGGCAGGAGGAUCACUUGACCCCAGGAGAUGGAGGCUGCAGUGAGCCGAGAUUGCACCACUGCACUCCAGCAUGGGCAACUGAGUGAGUACCUGUCUCAA
rnacentral:SRP_RNA from 1 species